GUUAUAUUGGCAGAUAAAGUGCAGUAAAUUUAGAAUUUAUUUAUAUGAAUUAAUUUCUUAUAUAAUAC
rnacentral:tRNA from 1 species